GGAAUGGAAAGGACCCAGACAACAAGUUCUGACAGGUAUUAUGAGUUCUUUCUUGUUUGGUGUACACCACCAAUGGUGUGAGAAAUACAGUGAUGAUGACGAAAAGGACCAAGUUUAAUUAAUUAGAACCAGGAGCAAUCAAGCAUGUCUGUGCAAAGUGAGGACAAAGCACUUCUGCUCAAAUCAUCUCCUUCAUCUCCACUCUGCAGCCAUACUGCACAGGCAGAAAUAAGUGAAUAAGAAACAAGGUUGUGAGGUUAACAUCUAUAUUACCAGCUGUUCACCUUUAGCUGUCUUAUUUGUGGAAAUUUCAAAUCACUGGACUUUAUACCAUGUUCACACCAAAAUUCUCUUAUCUAUGCUUUUGCUUUGGCUUGUCUGAGAUCUACCUUGUAUGAACGGAAUGUCAAAGAGAAAACUAGUUUGUGAAUAUUUUAGGAAAGUUAAUACUUCAGCACAGUCACAUGAUCUUUGAAAAUAAAAAAUUCUAUUAAUUGGUCUA